rnacentral:rRNA from 1 species
UACGUAGGGGGCAAGCGUUGUCCGGAUUCAUUGGGCGUAAAGAGCGUGUAGGCGGCCAGAUAGGUCAGCUGUGAAAACUCGAGGCUCAACCUCGAGCUGUCGGUGGAAACCGUGUGGCUAGAGUCCGGAAGAGGAGAGUGGAAUUCCCGGUGUAGCGGUGAAAUGCGCAGAUAUCGGGAAGAACACCCGUGGCGAAGGCGGCUCUCUGGGACGGUACUGGACGCUGAGAGACGAAAGCUAGGGGAGCGAAUGGG